rnacentral:rRNA from 1 species
AUUGAACGCUGGCGGCAGGCCUAACACAUGCAAGUCGAGCGAGCGGCGGACGGGUGAGUAAUGUAUGGGGAUCUGCCCGAUAGCGGGGGAUAACUACUGGAAACGGUGGAUAAUACCGCAAAAUAUAGGAUGAACACUUAUGGGAUUAGCUAGUUGGUGGGGUAAAGGUUCACCUAGGCGACGAUCUCUAGCUGGUCUGAGAGGAUGAUCAGCGACACUGGUACUGAGACACGGCCCAGACUCCUACGGGAGGCAGCAGUGGGGAAUGUUGGGCAAUGGGCGCAAGCCUGACGCAGCCACGCCGCGGGAAUGAAGAAGGCCUUAGGGUUGUAAAGUUCUUUCAGCGGGGAAGCGUUACCCGCAGAAGAAGCACCGGCUAACUCCGUGCCAGCAGCCGCGGUAAUAC